UAAGACGGAGGGUGCAAGCGUUGCUCGGAAUCAUUGGGCGUAAAGGGUGCGUAGGCGGCUUCUUAAGUCUGACGUGAAAGCCCAGGGCUCAGCCUUGGAAGUGCGUUAGAAACUGAGAAGCUUGAGUGCCGGAGGGGAGAGUGGAAUUCCUGGUGUAGCGGUGAAAUGCGUAGAUAUCAGGAGGAAUACCGGUGGCGAAAGCGACUCUCUGGACGGCAACUGACGCUGAGGCACGAAAGCGUGGGUAGCAAACAGGAUUAGAUACCCUGGUAGUCCACGCUGUAAACGAUGGACACUAGGUGUCGGGGGUAUCCACUCCCUCGGUGCCGCCGCUAACGCAUUAAGUGUCCCGCCUGGGAAGUACGGCCGCAAGGUUA
rnacentral:rRNA from 1 species